AAAGCAACGAACUCAGGAACCAAACUCACUCUCUGAAUAAAAAUGGAAGGGGAAGACGUAGAAGCAGCUGAGGAGGGGACUUGGAGCAGAGAAACCAUUCCUAAGGUUCUGAAGAUAGUGAGCACAAGACUGUCUCAGAGAGACCUUAUCUCUCUCUUGCUAGUUAGCCCAUGGCUCAAUGGAACUCUCGUCUCCUACCCUUCACUUUGGCUGCUUCUCGAUCUUCGUGAGAUGAAUAAUGCUGGGAAUCGCCUUAUAGCUGCUCUAUCAUUGCCGAGAUAUCGGCAUGUGAAGCAGAUAAACCUUGAAUUUGCACAAGACAUUGAAGACAAGCAUCUUGAACUCAUAAAGAACAAGUGUCUAGAUUCUCUUCAAAACCUGGAGGUUUUGAAUCUUAAUGGCUGCCAGAAGAUCUCUGAUAAGGGAAUUGAAGCUAUAACCAGUGCUUGCCCUAAUAUGAAGGUCUUUUCUAUCUAUUGGAAUGUGAGGGUUACAGAUAUAGGUAUAGCACACCUAGUGAAGAACUGCAAACAUAUAGUUGAUCUGAAUUUCAGUGGCUGUAAGAAUCUUUCAGACAAAAGCUUGCAAUUAGUGGCUCAGAAUUAUCCAGAAUUAGAGUUGUUGAACCUGACCAGGUGUGUUAAGUUAACAGAUUCUGGAUUGCAGCAGAUAUUGCACGGUUGCCCAUGUCUCCAUAGUCUUAAUUUGUAUGCCCUAUCGAGCUUCACUGAUGAAGCUUACAAGAGAAUAUCACUUCUUUCCCAUCUUAAAUUCUUGGAUCUGUGUGGUGGCCAGAAUCUAUCAGAUGAAGGGCUGUCUUGUAUAGCUAGAUGCAAGAGCCUCCUGUCUCUCAAUUUGACAUGGUGUGUACGUAUCACUGAUGUGGGGGUCAUAGCUGUUGCUCAGGGUUGCACAUCUCUUGAAUUUCUCAGCUUAUUUGGCAUAGUUGGGGUGACCGAUAAAUGCCUGGAGUACCUUUCAAGGACCUGCUCAAACACAAUUACAACUCUUGACGUGAAUGGCUGUAUUGGAAUUAAGAAACGGAGCCGUGAUGAACUGCUUCAAUUAUUUCCGAAGUUGCAGUGCUUCAAAGUACACAGCUAAUGCAUGUCAUUUGGAAACUUGGGGAUGAAAUGGUUCAGUUUCCUUCCAUUAAGGAUUAUUCUUGGAUUCGUGGAUAUUCAAUCAUGGACAUUAGAAGUUUUGGUGUGGACAUGCAGUGGAUGUGGCGGCUUGACUAUACUCUGAUCUUCAGUCCAUCUUAAUUUCCAAAUGUUUGGGGUCUGCAUCACACUGAUUGAGCUUACAGUAUACAAGUAUGGCGCAAGUGCAAUGUUUAUUUAUCACACUUUGCUUGAUGUUAAAAUUGCUACUCUGCGUGACAAACAAAAUAAACUGUCAUUGUGCUAUUUUUGUGGCUAGAAUUUCUAGUGUCAUUCUGACCAAGAAAUAUAUUAAUAGCUACACCAUCUUGUUAGCGAUGAACCUGCAACUAUUGCCAAAGAAUCGUUCUCCCCAAGGUCCUAUUUGAGCCUGUAAAAUUACCAACAGAAGAAAGAUAAAGUAGAUUUUCACUAACCCA